CAAGUCGACGGCAGCACGGGUGCUUGCACCUGGUGGCGAGUGGCGAACGGGUGAGUAAUACAUCGGAACGUACCUUAUCGUGGGGGAUAACGCAGCGAAAGCUGUGCUAAUACCGCAUACGCCCUGAGGGGGAAAGCGGGGGAUCGAAAGACCUCGCGCGAUUAGAGCGGCCGAUGCCUGAUUAGCUUGUUGGUGGGGUAAAAGCCCACCAAGGCGACGAUCAGUAGCUGGUCUGAGAGGACGAUCAGCCACACUGGGACUGAGACACGGCCCAGACUCCUACGGGAGGCAGCAGUGGGGAAUUUUGGACAAUGGGGGAAACCCUGAUCCAGCAAUGCCGCGUGAGUGAAGAAGGCCUUCGGGUUGUAAAGCUCUUUUGUCAGGGAAGAAACACCGGCUCUAACACAGUCCGGGAAUGACGGUACCUGAAGAAUAAGCACCGGCUAACUACGUGCCAGCAGCCGCGGUAAUACGUAGGGUGCGAGCGUUAAUCGGAAUUACUGGGCGUAAAGCGUGCGCAGGCGGUUAUACAAGACAGGCGUGAAAUCCCCGGGCUUAACCUGGGAAUGGCGCCUGUGACUGUAUAGCUAGAGUGUGUCAGAGGGGGGUAGAAUUCCACGUGUAGCAGUGAAAUGCGUAGAUAUGUGGAGGAAUACCAAUGGCGAAGGCAGCCCCCUGGGAUAACACUGACGCUCAUGCACGAAAGCGUGGGGAGCAAACAGGAUUAGAUACCCUGUAGUCCACGCCCUAAACGAUGCUGACUAGUUGUUCGGGAUUUACAUCCUGAGUAACGUAGCUAACGCGUGAAGUCAGCCGCCUGGGGAGUACGGUCGCAAGAUUAAAACUCAAAGGAAUUGACGG
rnacentral:rRNA from 1 species